rnacentral:rRNA from 1 species
AAAUUGAAGAGUUUGAUCAUGGCUCAGAUUGAACGCUGGCGGCAGGCCUAACACAUGCAAGUCGAACGGUAACAGGAAGCAGCUUGCUGCUUUGCUGACGAGUGGCGGACGGGUGAGUAAUGUCUGGGAAACUGCCUGAUGGAGGGGGAUAACUACUGGAAACGGUGGCUAAUACCGCAUAACGUCGCAAGACCAAAGAGGGGGACCUUCGGGCCUCUUGCCAUCAGAUGUGCCCAGAUGGGAUUAGCUUGUUGGUGAGGUAACGGCUCACCAAGGCGACGAUCCCUAGCUGGUCUGAGAGGAUGACCAGCCACACUGGAACUGAGACACGGUCCAGACUCCUACGGGAGGCAGCAGUGGGGAAUAUUGCACAAUGGGCGCAAGCCUGAUGCAGCCAUGCCGCGUGUAUGAAGAAGGCCUUCGGGUUGUAAAGUACUUUCAGCGGGGAGGAAGGUGUUGUGGUUAAUAACCGCAGCAAUUGACGUUACCCG